CAAUCCACUAAUACUUUGUGCAUCAUCAGUUAUUAUUAAAUUUUGCUUACUUCUUAAUACUCAGUAUAACAUUAUCUCUGCUGUAGUAUCACAAUUUUUAUAUAUUUUGCGUAACUUUUAGUAAAUAUUUAAAUCAAAAAGUGCUGCCGCAAUUAGUUGCACGCACGUGGUCGAAAGCCGAUUUCUGCAAUGGAAGCCCCUCAGCUGCCGCUGAUAGUUGCACGCACGUGGUCAGAAGUCGGUUUAUGGAAUGGAAGAAACUCAGGACUCGGACCAAGGCCAAGGCUAAGCAGUUCAGUCUGAUGCAUGGUAAGUUUUGAAGUUUUUUUUUUUUACGCUUUUUAAUUUCACAAUGAUGAAAAGUAAUUAC